rnacentral:rRNA from 1 species
GACGAACGCUGGCGGCGUGCCUAAUACAUGCAAGUAGAACGCUGACUACUUUAGCUUGCUAGAGUAGAAGGAGUUGCGAACGGGUGAGUAACGCGUAGGUAACCUGCCUACUAGCGGGGGAUAACUAUUGGAAACGAUAGCUAAUACCGCAUAACAGUGUUUAACACAUGUUAGAUGCUUGAAAGAUGCAAUUGCAUCACUAGUAGAUGGACCUGCGUUGUAUUAGCUAGUUGGUGGGGUAACGGCCCACCAAGGCGACGAUACAUAGCCGACCUGAGAGGGUGAUCGGCCACGCUGGGACUGAGAAACGGCCCAGACUCCUACGGGAGGCAGCAGGAGGGAAGCUUCGGCGAUGGGGGCAACCCUGACCGAGCAACGCCGCGUGAGUGAAGAAGGUUUUCGGAUCGUAAAGCUCUGUUGUAAGAGAAGAACGUGUGUGAGAGUGGAAAGUUCACACAGUGACGGUAACUUACCAGAAAGGGACGGCUAACUACGUGCCAGCAGCCGCGGUAA